rnacentral:rRNA from 1 species
GGAAGAGAAAGAAAAUUCGAUUCCCUUAGUAGCGGCGAGCGAAACGGGAAGAGCCCAAACCAACAAGCUUGCUUGUUGGGGUUGUAGGACACUCUAUACGGAGUUACAAAGGACGACAUUAGACGAAUCAUCUGGAAAGAUGAAUCAAAGAAGGUAAUAAUCCUGUAGUCGAAAAUGUUGUCUCUCUUGAGUGGAUCCUGAGUACGACGGAGCACGUGAAAUUCCGUCGGAAUCUGGGAGGACCAUCUCCUAAGGCUAAAUACUCUCUAGUGACCGAUAGUGAACCAGUACCGUGAGGGAAAGGUGAAAAGCACCCCGGAAGGGGAGUGAAAUAGAACCUGAAACCGUGUGCUUACAAGUAGUCAGAGCCCGUUAAUGGGUGAUGGCGUGCCUUUUGUAGAAUGAACCGGCGAGUUACGAUUUGAUGCAAGGUUAAGCAGUAAAUGUGGAGCCGUAGCGAAAGCGAGUCUGAAUAGGGCGUUUAGUAUUUGGUCGUAGACCCGAAACCAGGUGAUCUACCCUUGGUCAGGUUGAAGUUCAGGUAACACUGAAUGGAGGACCGAACCGACUUACGUUGAAAAGUGAGCGGAUGAACUGAGGGUAGCGGAGAAAUUCCAAUCGAACCUGGAGAUAGCUGGUUCUCUCCGAAAUAGCUUUAGGGCUAGCCUCAAGUGAUGAUUAUUGGAGGUAGAGCACUGUUUGGACGAGGGGCCCCUCUCGGGUUACCGAAUUCAGACAAACUCCGAAUGCCAAUUAAUUUAACUUGGGAGUCAGAACAUGGGUGAUAAGGUCCGUGUUCGAAAGGGAAACAGCCCAGACCACCAGCUAAGGUCCCAAAAUAUAUGUUAAGUGGAAAAGGAUGUGGCGUUGCCCAGACAACUAGGAUGUUGGCUUAGAAGCAGCCAUCAUUUAAAGAGUGCGUAAUAGCUCACUAGUCGAGUGACACUGCGCCGAAAAUGUACCGGGGCUAAACAUAUUACCGAAGCUGUGGAUUGUCCUUUGGACAAUGGUAGGAGAGCGUUCUAAGGGCGUUGAAGCAUGAUCGUAAGGACAUGUGGAGCGCUUAGAAGUGAGAAUGCCGGUGUGAGUAGCGAAAGACGGGUGAGAAUCCCGUCCACCGAUUGACUAAGGUUUCCAGAGGAAGGCUCGUCCGCUCUGGGUUAGUCGGGUCCUAAGCUGAGGCCGACAGGCGUAGGCGAUGGAUAACAGGUUGAUAUUCCUGUACCACCUAUAAUCGUUUUA